rnacentral:misc_RNA from 1 species
CGGCGGUGGAGGAUAGUUUGUUGGAUGUAUUGAUGAUAGAUACGAAACGUGGGAAUAAAAUAGUGGGAUUUUAUUUGAGGAAUCCUUGUGCGAGACUUACUCUGCUUUAUUCCCAUGGCAAUGCUGCAGACCUUGGCCAACUCUAUGACCUUUUUCUUCAGCUUAAAGUUAAUCUUAGAGUUAAUCUUAUGGGAUAUGACUAUUCUGG